AGAAAAUGUAGCAUUUGGAUUAUAGUUGAGUACAUGAACUUAAAUCACCCAAACACAUGUGCAUGUGUGUGUGUUUAUAUAUACAUGUGUGUGUGUAGUCCGUGCGUGUGUGUGUUCAUAUCUGAGUAAGUGUGUGUGUUCAUAACUUGAGUAAGGGUGUGUUCAUAGAUGCGCGUGCGGCGUGUGCAUGUGUGCGCGCGUUUGCAUGUGUGUGUCUGCGUGUAUAUUUGAGUGUUUAUAAUAUGGUGUGUGUGUUCACGUGGCGCGUGUUCAUACGUACGCACGUGUGUGUGUGUUCACACGUGUUUGUUUGUGUUCAUAUACGUGUGUGUGUGUGCGUGCGUGUUUGUGUUCCUAUGUACGUGUGUUUUUGUAUGUGUGUUGAUGUAUGCGUCUGUGCAUGCGCGUAUGUUUAUAUGUGUGUGUCUUUAUGUUCAUUCAUAUAUACGUGUUUGUGUAUGUUUGUUUAUUUAUGCGUCUGUGCAUGCGUAUAUGUUUAUAUGUGUGUGUCUUUAUGUUCAUUCAUUUAUGCUUGUGUGCGCUUGCAUGUGUGUGUGUGGUAAUAUACGCGUGUGUGUGUUCACAUAUGCAUGUUUGUGUUCACGUGUGUCCUCUGACUCAGAGUGAGAGAGAGAGAGACUAUAAUUUACACAGAGACGCUGAGGAGACAAGGUGUGGAUAAAAAAGUGAACCAAA